UUUUUAGUAUAAGUAUACACCCAUGCAAUAUUUGGGAUAUACUUAUACUAAAA
rnacentral:pre_miRNA from 1 species